CCAUCUAGCUGAUUUAAAUAGCAAAUCGCACA
rnacentral:scRNA from 1 species